rnacentral:rRNA from 1 species
AGAGUUUGAUCCUGGCUCAGGACGAACGCUGGCGGCACGCUUAACACAUGCAAGUCGAACGAGAGAAGAGGAGCUUGCUUUUCUGAUCUAGUGGCGGACGGGUGAGUAACACGUGAGCAAUCUGCCUUUCAGAGGGGGAUACCGAUUGGAAACGAUCGUUAAUACCGCAUAACAUAAUUGAACCGCAUGAUUUGAUUAUCAAAGAUUUAUCGCUGAAAGAUGAGCUCGCGUCUGAUUAGCUAGUUGGUAAGGUAACGGCUUACCAAGGCGACGAUCAGUAGCCGGACUGAGAGGUUGAUCGGCCACAUUGGGACUGAGACACGGCCCAGACUCCUACGGGAGGCAGCAGUGGGGAAUAUUGCACAAUGGAGGAAACUCUGAUGCAGCGAUGCCGCGUGAGGGAAGAAGGUUUUAGGAUUGUAAACCUCUGUCUUCAGGGACGAAAAAAGACGGUACCUGAGGAGGAAGCUCCGGCUAACUACGUGCCAGCAGCCGCGGUAAUACGUAGGGAGCGAGCGUUGUCCGGAAUUACUGGGUGUAAAGGGAGCGUAGGCGGGAUCGCAAGUCAGAUGUGAAAACUAUGGGCUUAACCCAUAAACUGCAUUUGAAACUGUGGUUCUUGAGUGAAGUAGAGGUAAGCGGAAUUCCUAGUGUAGCGGUGAAAUGCGUAGAUAUUAGGAGGAACAUCAGUGGCGAAGGCGGCUUACUGGGCUUUAACUGACGCUGAGGCUCGAAAGCGUGGGGAGCAAACAGGACUAGAUACCCUGGUAGUCCACGCCGUAAACGAUGAUUACUAGGUGUGGGGGGACUGACCCCUUCCGUGCCGCAGCAAACGCAAUAAGUAAUCCACCUGGGGAGUACGACCGCAAGGUUGAAACUCAGAGGAAUUGACGGGGGCCCGCACAAGCAGUGGAGUAUGUGGAUUAAUUCGAAGCAACGCGAAGAACCUUACCAGGUCUUGACAUCGUAUGCAUAGCUCAGAGAUGAGUGAAAUCUCUUCGGAGACAUAUAGACAGGUGGUGCAUGGUUGUCGUCAGCUCGUGUCGUGAGAUGUUGGGUUAAGUCCCGCAACGAGCGCAACCCUUACUGUUAGUUGCUACGCAAGAGCACUCUAGCAGGACUGCCGUUGACAAAACGGAGGAAGGUGGGGAUGACGUCAAAUCAUCAUGCCCCUUAUGACCUGGGCCUCACACGUACUACAAUGGCUGUCAACAGAGGGAAGCAAAGCCGCGAGGUGGAGCGAACCCCUAAAAGCAGUCUUAGUUCGGAUUGUAGGCUGCAACCCGCCUACAUGAAGUCGGAAUUGCUAGUAAUCGCAGAUCAGCAUGCUGCGGUGAAUACGUUCCCGGGCCUUGUACACACCGCCCGUCACGCCAUGGGAGUCGGUAACACCCGAAGCCUGUAGUCUAACCGCAAGGAGGACGCAGUCGAAGGUGGGAUUGAUGACUGGGGUGAAGUCGUAACAAGGUA